AUUCUGCCCAAGCGGGGAAGGAUGAGAAGCUUCGACCAAGGUUCGACUCGAGCGCCAGCGAGAGAGCGUUGCCGCAGGCAACGACCCGAA
rnacentral:sRNA from 1 species